rnacentral:rRNA from 1 species
AACGAACGCUGGCGGCAUGCCUAACACAUGCAAGUCGAACGAGACCUUCGGGCCUAGUGGCGCACGGGUGCGUAACGCGUGGGAACCUGCCCUUAGGUUCGGAAUAACUCCCCGAAAGGGGUGCUAAUACCGGUUAAUGUCUUCGGACCAAAGAUCUCUCGCCUUUGGAUGGGCCCGCGUUGGAUUCGCUAGUUGGUAGGGUAAAAGCCUACCAAGGCGACGAUGCAUAGCUGGUCUGAGAGGAUGAUCAGCCACACUGGGACUGAGGCACGGCCCAGACUCCUACGGGAGGGAGCAGUGGAGAAUAUUGGACGAGGGGCGAAAGCCUGAUCCAGCAAUGCCGGGUAAGUGAUGAAGGCCUUAGGGUUGUAAAGCUCUUUUAGCCGGGAUGAUAAUGACAGUACCGGGAGAAUAAGCACCGGCUAACUCCGUG